UUUUUAUAAAAUUUUAUUUUAUUAUUUAUAAUUUUUUAAUUUUUUUUUUAAAAUAGCGAAGGACGGUGUCGCUUAGUCCGUCGCUUUUCUGGUCAAUUUUUUUUAAAUGGAGCGACGGACUUUGCGACGCUGUCCGUCGCCUCCUACUAAACAUCAACCACAGGUUCUCCCAUUUUUUUUUAUUUUUUAUACUCUCUUAACUCUCUCUCUCUCUCUCUCUCUCUCUCUCUCUUUGAUCCCCUCCCCUAAACUCCGAUUCCGACGCUCAUCCCACCUCCGCCACAGCACUCUGCCGGCGUCUCCGCCGUCGUCGUCCCUUCCUCUCUCUCAGGGGUACAAUCUAAUUAAAUAUUUCAAUAUUCGACGGCGCCAAGCCCACUACCACCAACCCCUCCAUCGUAGACCUAAUUGAAAAAAGUCGAGAUGGGCAGCAGAAACUUUUGAUUUCUGCUGUCAAAAAUAUUACAGUAAAGGCGACGGACAGGGUCCUUUAAUCCGUCACUUUUUUUGAAUUUAUUUUUAAUUUUUUUUAGAAAAGCGACGGACAGGGACCCUAUGUCCGUCGCUUUUUUGGAAAUUUUCAAGAACAUCAAGAACAAAAGCGACGGACAUGGACCCUUUGUCCCUCGCUUUUCUGGAAAAAAAUUUUAAAAUUUAAAAAUAAAACGACGCAGUCCGUCACUUUUUGCGAUGCAGUCCGUCGCUUUAUUAAAAGCGUCGAGCAAAAAAAUGACGGAAGUGACUGCGUUGCUUUUCCGUCGAAUUUGACCAAAAAAGCGACGCAGUGUGUGUUCUGUAAAACGGCCAGAAUCCAAAGAACAUCUAUUCUUUGAAUGCAACUUUACAUCUGGUAUAUGGAGAGAUGUAAUGAAAUGACAGAAGUGACAAAGAAAUCCUCAAAACUGGACCGCUGAAUGGACAUGGAUUGAAGGUCAAGCUAAAGGUAAGCAGCUAGCUUUGCUCCUGUGUCCUGUCAUAUACAAUAUUUGGAUAGAGAGGAAUGUUAGAAUCUUUCAACAUAGAUCUACCACAAACGAGGCUAUUCUUCAUCAGAUCAAACUUGCUCUCUGAACUAGAGUAAGAUCUAAUGUUAGGCUAUUUAGUUAUAUUAGUUCUUUAUAGAAUCAUUUCUGCCUUAUGUUUUUUUGUAAGUUGAGUCUUUUUGUCCAAGUCUGAGAAGGGAAAUGUAGGAGUACUUUCCCUUGGUCUUGUAAAUAUUCCCACUUGGUGAUUAAUAAAAAAUCUCUUUAA